rnacentral:rRNA from 1 species
GACGAACGCUGGCGGCGUGCCUAAUACAUGCAAGUUGAGCGCUGAAGGUUGGUACUUGUACCAACUGGAUGAGCAGCGAACGGGUGAGUAACGCGUGGGGAAUCUGCCUUUGAGCGGGGGACAACAUUUGGAAACGAAUGCUAAUACCGCAUAAAAACUUUAAACACAAGUUUUAAGUUUGAAAGAUGCAAUUGCAUCACUCAAAGAUGAUCCCGCGUUGUAUUAGCUAGUUGGUGAGGUAAAGGCGCACCAAGGCGAUGAUACAUAGCCGACCUGAGAGGGGGAUCGGCCACAUUGGGACUGAGACACGGCCCAAACUCCUACGGGAGGCAGCAGUAGGGAAUCUUCGGCAAUGGACGAAAGUCUGACCGAGCAACGCCGCGUGAGUGAAGAAGGUUUUCGGAUCGUAAAACUCUGUUGGUAGAGAAGAACGUUGGUGAGAGUGGAAAGCUCAUCAAGUGACGGUAACUACCCAGAAAGGGACGGCUAACUACGUG